AAUUUAUUUUAUUUAAAUAAAUUUUCUAUUUGUGGAUUAUUUAUAUUAAUAAUUAAAAUCUUUUGGGGAUGAGCUGAUAAGAUUAAACUAAAUUUUUUUUAUGUUUGAUGAUUAGUAGGAUUAGAAUUUUCUUUCUUUUUAGUAUUUUAUAAUUUAUCAUUUUUUAAUUUUUAUUUUUUUUUUAAUUAGUUUUUUUAUAAAAAUUUAAAUUUUAAUUAUUUAUUUUUAGGAAUUAUUAUGAAAUUAGUAAAUUUUGUAUUUAUUUUUAUUUAUUUUGGAAAGGUAAAUUAAAGGAAUUCGGCAAUUAGUUUUUCGCCUGUUUAAUAAAAACAUGGUCUUUUGUUUAUAAUUUAAGAUUUGACCUGCCCAAUGAUAAUUUAAAUGGCCGCGGUAAUUUGACCGUGCGAAGGUAGCAUAAUCAAUAGUUUCUUGAUUGGAAGCUGGUAUGAAUGGUUGGACGAGAAAACUUCUGUCUCUAGUUUAAUUUUGUUGAAUUUUAUUUUUGAGUUAAAAAGCUUAAAUUUUGUUAAAAGACGAGAAGACCCUAUAGAGUUUUAUUCAAUAAUUUUGUUUAAAAUAAGAAUUUUUAAAAAAUUUUUUGAAUUUGGUUGGGGUGACUUUAAGAUUAAAUUAACUCUUAAAUUUUUUAUUUCAAUAAUGAUUGUUUUUCUUGAUCCGAUUGUUUUGAUUAUUAGACUAAAUUACCUUAGGGAUAACAGCGUUAUUUUUCUUGAGAGUUCCUAUCGAAAGAAAAGAUUGCGACCUCGAUGUUGGAUUAAAAUAAAC
rnacentral:rRNA from 1 species